AGAGCUGUGACCUGCUGGGUGACAUCCAGACCUGCAUCAGGAAAAGUCUGGGAGAGAAGCCCCGCCGGAGCCGCACCAAGACCAUCGACCCCCAGGAGCCCCCGUGGGUAGAGGUGCUGGUGGAGAUCUUGCUGGCCCUGUUGGCCCAGCCCAGCCACCUCAUGCGCCAGGUGGCCCGGAGCGUGUUUGGCCACAUCUGCUCCCACCUGACCCCGCGUGCCCUGCAGCUAAUUCUGGAUGUGCUGAACCCCGAGACCAGUGAGGAUGAGAAUGACCGUGUGGUGGUGACGGACGAUUCUGAUGAGCGGCGGCUGAAGGGUGCAGAGGUGUUGCCAGCACGGGCCGGGCGGGGGCGGUGGGGAGUGGGACGAUCCGGGAGGUGUGUGACGCGCCUGCCUCUACCACACAGGACAAGAGUGAGGAAGGCGAGGACAACAGAAGCUCAGAGAGUGAAGAGGAGAGUGAAGGGGAGGAGAGCGAGGAGGAGGAGCGCGACGGGGACGUGGAUCAGGGCUUCCGGGAACAGCUGAUGACCGUGCUGCAGGCUGGGAAGGCGCUGGGUGGAGAGGACAGUGAGAA
rnacentral:sRNA from 1 species